GAGCGGAAGGCCCUUCGGGGUACUCGAGCGGCGAACGGGUGAGUAACACGUGAGCAACCUGCCCUAGGCUUUGGGAUAACCCUCGGAAACGGGGGCUAAUACCGAAUAUUCACUUGCGGGCGCAUGUUUGUGGGUGGAAAGUUUUUCGGCUUGGGAUGGGCUCGCGGCCUAUCAGCUUGUUGGUGGGGUGAUGGCCUACCAAGGCGACGACGGGUAGCCGGCCUGAGAGGGCGACCGGCCACACUGGGACUGAGACACGGCCCAGACUCCUACGGGAGGCAGCAGUGGGGAAUAUUGCACAAUGGGCGGAAGCCUGAUGCAGCGACGCCGCGUGAGGGAUGACGGCCUUCGGGUUGUAAACCUCUUUCAGCAGGGACGAAGCGCAAGUGACGGUACCUGCAGAAGAAGCGCCGGCCAACUACGUGCCAGCAGCCGCGGUAAGACGUAGGGCGCGAGCGUUGUCCGGAUUUAUUGGGCGUAAAGAGCUCGUAGGCGGCUUGUCGCGUCGACUGUGAAAACCCACGGCUCAACUGUGGGCUUGCAGUCGAUACGGGCAGGCUAGAGUUCGGUAGGGGAGACUGGAAUUCCUGGUGUAGCGGUGAAAUGCGCAGAUAUCAGGAGGAACACCGGUGGCGAAGGCGGGUCUC
rnacentral:rRNA from 1 species